GUACACUCCUACGGGAGGCAGCAGUGGGGAAUUUUGGACAAUGGGCGAAAGCCUGAUCCAGCAAUGCCGCGUGAGUGAAGAAGGCCUUCGGGUUGUAAAGCUCUUUUGUCAGGGAAGAAACGGUGAAAGCUAAUAUCUUUUGCUAAUGACGGUACCUGAAGAAUAAGCACCGGCUAACUACGUGCCAGCAGCCGCGGUAAUACGUAGGGUGCAAGCGUUAAUCGGAAUUACUGGGCGUAAAGCGUGCGCAGGCGGUUUUGUAAGUCUGAUGUGAAAUCCCCGGGCUCAACCUGGGAAUUGCAUUGGAGACUGCAAGGCUAGAAUCUGGCAGAGGGGGGUAGAAUUCCACGUGUAGCAGUGAAAUGCGUAGAUAUGUGGAGGAACACCGAUGGCGAAGGCAGCCCCCUGGGUCAAGAUUGACGCUCAUGCACGAAAGCGUGGGGAGCAAACAGGAUUAGAUACCCUUGUAGUCCCAUGAU
rnacentral:rRNA from 1 species